AGUGAACGCUGGCGGUAGGCCUAACACAUGCAAGUCGAACGGCAGCACAGUAAGAGCUUGCUCUUACGGGUGGCGAGUGGCGGACGGGUGAGGAAUACAUCGGAAUCUACUUUUUCGUGGGGGAUAACGUAGGGAAACUUACGCUAAUACCGCAUACGACCUACGGGUGAAAGCAGGGGAUCUUCGGACCUUGCGCGAUUGAAUGAGCCGAUGUCGGAUUAGCUAGUUGGCGGGGUAAAGGCCCACCAAGGCGACGAUCCGUAGCUGGUCUGAGAGGAUGAUCAGCCACACUGGAACUGAGACACGGUCCAGACUCCUACGGGAGGCAGCAGUGGGGAAUAUUGGACAAUGGGCGAAAGCCUGAUCCAGCCAUACCGCGUGGGUGAAGAAGGCCUUCGGGUUGUAAAGCCCCUUUGUUGGGAAAGAAAAGCAGCAGGUUAAUACCCCGCUGUUCUGACGGUACCCAAAGAAUAAGCACCGGCUAACUUCGUG
rnacentral:rRNA from 1 species